rnacentral:rRNA from 1 species
UCAAGCUACAAAGGGCUUACGGAGGAUGCCUUGGCACAUGGCGCCGAAGAAGGACGUGACAAGCUGCGAAAAGCUGCGGGGAGGAGCAAAUAUCUUAUAAUCCGCAGAUAUCCGAAUGAGGGAACUCCGCACUCAUAAUGGAGUGCGAUCCGCAACUGAAUAGAUAGGUUGCGGAGGGGAACCCGGGGAACUGAAACAUCUAAGUACCCGGAGGAAAAGAAAACAACAGUGAUUCCGAAAGUAGUGGCGAGCGAAAUCGGAGAAGCCCAAACCAAAGGUAGAAAUACAAUUGGGGUAAGGACCGCGAGAUAGUGACGGACGGGUAGUCGAAGUACCUGGAAAGGUAAAGCGAAGAGGGUGAAACUCCCGUAGACGAAACCUGAAAGAAGCGAGCGGAAUCCGGAGUACGUCGGGACACGAGAAAUCCUGACGGAAGAAAUGGGGACCAUCCCAGAAGGCUAAAUACGACCAUGUGACCGAUAGAGAAGAGUACCGUGAGGGAAAGGUGAAAAGAACCCCGGGAGGGGAGUGAAAGAGAACCUGAAACCGUGAGCUUACAAGCAGACAGAGCGCAAGUGAUGUCGUACUUUUUGUAGAACGGGCCGGCGAGUUACGAUGUGAUGCGAGGUUAAGGCACAAAGUGCCGAGCCGAAGCGAAAGCGAAUCUGAAUAGGGUGAUAAGUAUCAUGUCGUAGACCCGAAACCGAAUGACCUAACCAUGAGCAGGUUGAAGCAAUGGUAAAACGUUGUGGAGGACCGAACACACGCCUGUUGAAAUAGUCGGUGAUGACUUGUGGUUAGCGGAGAAAUUCCAAACGAAUUCGGAUAUAGCUGGUUCUCCUCGAAAUAGCUUUAGGGCUAGCCUCGCCCAUAAUUCCCGUAGGUAGAGCACUGAAUGGCCUAGGGGGCUUCACAGCCUACCGAAGCUUAUCAAACUCCGAAUGGCGGGAAAUUGAGGACGGGAGUCAGACAGCGACAGCUAAGUGCCGUUGUCAAAAGGGAAACAGCCCAGAUCUACAGCUAAGGUCCCAAAGUACAGGUUAAGUGGAAAAGGAUGUGACAAUGCAGAGACAACCAGGAUGUUGGCUCAGAAGCAGCCACGCAUUAAAAGAGUGCGUAAUAGCUCACUGGUCGAGUGAUGUUGCGCCGAAAAUUAACGGGGCUCAAACCUGACACCGAAGCUUAGGAAUACACGGAGUGUAUUGGUAGAGGAGCAAUGUAUACGGGCAGAAGCAAAACCGGAAGGUUAUGUGGACUGUAUAGAAGAGAGAAUGCCGGCAUAAGUAGCGAGAGCGGAGCGAGAAACUCCGCCGUCGAAAGUCUGAGGUUUUCCGGGGAAGGUUCGUCCGCCCGGAGUAAGUCGGGACCUAAGCCGAGGCCGAAAGGCGUAGGUGAUGGACAACAGGUUGAUAAUCCUGUACUACCGAGAGAGUCAAUGAAGCAGUGACACGGAAAGAUAGAAGAAGCGCGCAGACGGAAAAGCGCGUCCAAGCAGUGAGGGUGGCUUGUAGUCAAGAACGCAAGUCGAAAGCCUGAGCUGUGACGGGGAGUGGACCAAGGAAACGAAGUCUUUGAAUCUACGCCGGCGAGAAAAGCUGCUAAAUAUUUCGAGGUACCCGUACCGCAAACCGACACAGGUAGACGAGAAGAAAAUUCUAAGACGAACGGGAGAACCCUUGUUAAGGAACUCGGCAAAAUGACCCCGUAACUUCGGGAGAAGGGGAGCCAUCGAGAGAUGGCCGCAGUGAAGAGGCCCAAGCGACUGUUUAUCAAAAACACAGGUUUCUGCAAAGGCGAAAGCCAAAGUAUAGGAGCUGACUCCUGCCCAGUGCCGGAAGGUCAAGGGGAUCCGUCAGAGCAAUCGAAGCGGUGAACUUAAGCCCCGGUGAACGGCGGCCGUAACUAUAACGGUCCUAAGGUAGCGAAAUUCCUUGUCGGGUAAGUUCCGACCCGCACGAAUGGAGUAACGAUUUGGGCACUGUCUCAACAGGGGGCCCGGCGAAAUUGUAGUAUACGUGAAGAUGCGUAUUAACCCGCGACUGGACGGAAAGACCCCGUAGAGCUUUACUGUAACUUGAUAUUGAGUCUCGGCAAUUGAUGCACAGAAUAGGUGGGAGACAGAGAAGUGCGGGUUUCGGCCUGCAUGGAGUCAACUUUGGGAUACCACUCUUCGAUUGCUGAGGUUCUAACCGAGGCCCGUGAAACCGGGAACGGGACAGUGUCAGGUGGGCAGUUUGACUGGGGCGGUCG